rnacentral:rRNA from 1 species
GACGAACGCUGGCGGCGUGCUUAACACAUGCAAGUCGAACGGUAAGGCCCUUCGGGUACGACGAGUGGCGAACGGGUGGAGUAACACGUGGGUGAUCUGCCCUGCACUUCGGGAUAAGCCUGGGAAACUGGGUCUAAUACCGGAUAGGACCAUGGACUUCACGGUUUGUGGUGGAAAGCUUUUGCGGUGUGGGAUGGGCCCGCGGCCUAUCAGCUUGUUGGUGGGGUAAUGGCCUACCAAGGCGACGACGGGUAGCCGGCCUGAGAGGGUGUCCGGCCACACUGGGACUGAGAUACGGCCCAGACUCCUACGGGAGGCAGCAGUGGGGAAUAUUGCACAAUGGGCGCAAGCCUGAUGCAGCGACGCCGCGUGAGGGGAUGACGGCCUCGGGUUGUAAACCUCUUUCAAUAGGACGAAGCGCAAGUGACGGUACCUAUAGAAGAAGCA